GAUGAACGCUGGCGGCGUGCCUAAUACAUGCAAGUCGAGCGAACAGAUGAGGAGCUUGCUCCUCUGACGUUAGCGGCGGACGGGUGAGUAACACGUGGAUAACCUACCUAUAAGACUGGGAUAACUUCGGGAAACCGGAGCUAAUACCGGAUAAUAUAUUGAACCGCAUGGUUCAAUAGUGAAAGACGGUUUUGCUGUCACUUCUAGAUGGAUCCGCGCCGCAUUAGCUAGUUGGUAAGGUAACGGCUUACCAAGGCAACGAUGCGUAGCCGACCUGAGAGGGUGAUCGGCCACACUGGAACUGAGACACGGUCCAGACUCCUACGGGAGGCAGCAGUAGGGAAUCUUCCGCAAUGGGCGAAAGCUUGACGGAGCAACGCCGCGUGAGUGAUGAAGGUCUUCGGAUCGUAAAACUCUGUUAUUAGGGAAGAACAAAUGUGUAAGUAACUAUGCACGUCUUGACGGUACCUAAUCAGAAAGCCACGGCUAACUACGUG
rnacentral:rRNA from 1 species